GGCUCAGGAUGAACGCUAGCGGCAGGCUUAAUACAUGCAAGUCGUGGGGCAGCAGGUUUGUAGCAAUACAGAUGCUGGCGACCGGCAAACGGGUGCGGAACACGUACAGAACCUUCCUUGAGCGGGGAAUAGCCCAGAGAAAUUUGGAUUAAUACCCCAUAGUAUAAUGAAGUGGCAUCACUUUAUUAUUAAAGAUUUAUCACUCGAAGAUGGCUGUGCGGCUGAUUAGGUAGUUGGCGGGGUAAAGGCCCACCAAGCCUGCGAUCAGUGACUGGUGUGAGAGCACGACCAGUCACACGGGCACUGAGACACGGGCCCGACUCCUACGGGAGGCAGCAGUAAGGAAUAUUGGUCAAUGGAGGCAACUCUGAACCAGCCAUGCCGCGUGGAGGAUGAAGGUCCUCUGGAUUGUAAACUUCUUUUAUAUGGGACGAAAAAGGCUUUUCUAAGUCGUCUGACGGUACCAUAUGAAUAAGCACCGGCUAACUCCGUG
rnacentral:rRNA from 1 species